GACGAACGCUGGCGGCGUGCUUAACACAUGCAAGUCGAACGGAAAGGCCCUGCUUUUGUGGGGUGCUCGAGUGGCGAACGGGUGAGUAACACGUGAGUAACCUGCCCUUGACUUUGGGAUAACUUCAGGAAACUGGGGCUAAUACCGGAUAGGAGCUCCUGCUGCAUGGUGGGGGUUGGAAAGUUUCGGCGGCUGGGGAUGGACUCGCGGCUUAUCAGCUUGUUGGUGGGGUAGUGGCUUACCAAGGCUUUGACGGGUAGCCGGCCUGAGAGGGUGACCGGCCACAUUGGGACUGAGAUACGGCCCAGACUCCUACGGGAGGCAGCAGUGGGGAAUAUUGCACAAUGGGCGGAAGCCUGAUGCAGCAACGCCGCGUGCGGGAUGACGGCCUUCGGGUUGUAAACCGCUCUCGCCUGUGACGAAGCGUGAGUGACGGUAAUGGGUAAAGAAGCACCGGCUAACUACGUG
rnacentral:rRNA from 1 species